rnacentral:rRNA from 1 species
CGUCUAUAUACGUAUAGCAUAUCAAUAAGCGGAGGAAAAGAAACUAACUAGGAUUCCCUCAGUAACGGCGAGUGAAGCGGGAAGAGCUCAAAUUUGAAAUCUUCAAGGUUCUACCUUGACGAAUUGUAGUUUAAAGAAGUGUUUUCUGUUGGAGUUUUGGUAAAAGUUCUUUGGAAUAGGACAUCAUAGAGGGUGAGAAUCCCGUAUUUGACCAUUAUUUCAGCUGUGUGAUACACUUUCAAAGAGUCGGACUGUUUGGGAAUGUAGUCCAAAAUGGGUGGUAAAUUUCAUCUAAAGCUAAAUAUUGGCGAGAGACCGAUAGCGAACAAGUACCGUGAGGGAAAGAUGAAAAGAACUUUGAAAAGAGAGUUAAACAGUACGUGAAAUUGUCAAAAGGGAAGCGUUUGACACCAGUGUUGUUUUUCCGAAAAUCAAUUACGAAUGUUUUGUUUUUAAGGAGUUAUGACUUCAUCGGCUUGCUUCUUUCUUUACGAAACUUUCUUAAUGCACUUUUCGGUUAACAAGUCAACAUCAAUUUCUUUUGUUGUAAAAGGGUAUGAGGAAGGUGGCUUUCUUUUCGGAGAAAGUGUUUAUAGCCUUGUGCCUCUGCAAUCGGAGAGAUUGAGGUCUGCAGCGUAGAUCCUUCGGGGUUAGAUACGUUAGAUGCUAAGUUAUAGCUUUUUCAUAGACAACUUGUUGACUAUAAUUUAAGUCAUUGUAGCUUACUCGCUUGACGCUAUUUUACCUACGCUUAGGAUGUUGACUGAUAUGUAGUCGUA